GGAAGGUUACAAACUUAGGCUUUAUAAAGGGCUUGAGAAAUGGAGUGGGAUGCCCACUGGAAUUGCAAGAAAUCAUUGAGAAUCAAGGGAGAAAUUGGAGAAGAAAGUUUGUAAAGAGUUUUGAUAUUUCGCUAGGAAUUAAGGAACACAUGAGUCACUCAACCAAACUCAGUGAAUGAUAUAGGGGAUGAACUGUUAAGAGAUAGAUUACUUGACUUAGAGGUAUCUACUAAAAUUUGUAGGACGUUUUGGUUGGCGGGGAUACGCUAUUCUAAGCACCUCAUCUACCAGACAGAUCUGUAGGUGUUGGGCUGUUGGAACUGGGCUACUGCUAAACUUGGAGCAAAAGUAUUGUUGGGCUGUGAAGGGAAUAUGCUGCUGGGCUUGAUCUGCGCUUGAGGAGUGGGCUGGCUGUAUAUACAUGGCGGGCUGCUGGUGGGUAAGCAGUGCUUUGGCUGCUCAGUCCAGCUUAUUAGGCUGUCGCUGAUUGGGCCGACAGGCUUGAUCCGGCUGACAUAAUAUUGGGUUGCGAAAAUGGACUGUAAUUAUAGUAAAUUGGUGGCAGAAAAAUGCCAAAUGGAAAUUGAGCAUUCUGGUAAUUUUGUGGCAGUUGAUUUUGAGAUGUUUAGCCCCUUGCACUUGGAUGAGGCCCCAUAAUACCCGCAAAUUGUGAGUUUUGACUCGUAUUUGUUGCGUAUUGCACAUAUAAUUAAUGUGUAAUUGUAGUUAUAUCACCAUAACUUUAUAUCAUAUUCAUAUCUAGUAGACUUCUUUGGCUUUGUUGAAUAUUGAACAUAUACUUAAUGUGUAAUUGUAAUUUUUGCCUCA